rnacentral:rRNA from 1 species
UACGUAGGUGGCAAGCGUUGUUCGGAAUUAUUGGGCGUAAAGGGCGUUUAGGCGGUUUGUUAAGUCGGCUGUGAAAGCCCGGGGCUCAACCCCGGAGGGUCAGCCGAUACUGGCAGACUAGAGUACGGAAGAGGUAGCUGGAAUUCCCGGUGUAGCGGUGAAGUGCGUAGAUAUCGGGAGGAACACCUGAGGCGAAGGCGGCAUUCUGGACCGAAACUGACGCUGAGGCGCGAAAGCCAGGGGAGCAAACGGG